rnacentral:lncRNA from 1 species
GCGACCGCCCCGCCGGGAGGCCCUGCACGCACGCGCCGCCGGCCGGGCCAGAUGACCAGAGGAGGGACGCCACCUGGUGGUAAGAGUGUGGAGUGAGCAUUGAGUUCCCUUCUCAAAAUUUGCCUCCAGUAAACAAAAUAAUCCUGCCUUCUAGUCAACCCUAUCAAAGAGCUGAGCAUCAGGGAAAAACUCCGAUCUCCAGGAACAAAUGACAAAAAAAAAAAAAAGUAGAAGGCACUGUUUCCAAAUGGAGCAGAGGAACUGAAAUCCAAGUUAGAGACAUGAUCUAUAAACACACAGGAAAGCAACCAAAAGAAAGCUUGGAUUUGCUCAUCAUUUCAUCUAAAUGUAGUGAUAAUAAUAAUGACUUUCCACUUACUGCGUAAUACUACGUUCCAGAUGCAUGGGUACACUGUGCUGUGUGCUGAACAUAUUUAAUCUCCUUUAAUUCUCAGCAACAACCUUAUAAGGGAGAUAUUACUAUACCCAUUUUAUGGGGAACAAAUGUCAGUUCAGAAAGUUUGAGUAACUCCCAGGAUCACACAGCCAGGACCUGACAAGCUGGGAUUUGACUUCAGGUCUGUGGACUCUGAAACUCAUGAUAUUAACCAUUAGGUUAGACACCUGAUAGAUAUGGCCAUUCAACAGGUUGAAAGUGGAUCUCAUCAUCUUUGCUUCUCUUCCUCCUCCACUUCACACCUCAGCGAACAGCACAACCUGUCCUCCCCACACCUAUCCAGUUGACCAAGCCAGACAUCCAGGCAGGCUGUACAGGAAGCAUGAUGCUGGCAUCUCCUUGGCUUCUGGGGAGGCCUCAGGAAACUUACAAUCAUGGUGGAAGGCAAAGGGGAAGUAGGCACGUCUUACAUGGCUGGAGCAGGCAGAAGAGAGGGAGCAGGGAGGUACUACACACUUUUAAACAACCAGCUCUCAUGAUCACUCAUUUACUCACUAUCACGAGAAACAGCACCAAGAGGAUGAUGCUAAACAUUCAUGAAAGACCAUCCCCAUGAUCCAAUCACCUCCCACUAGGCCUCACCUCCAACACUGGGGAUUACAAUUGACAUGAUAUUUGGGCAGGGACACAGAUCCAAACCAUGUCAUCCCUUUAAAGAAGUAAUUAAGGCUGGAUGUGGUGGCUUAUGCCUCUAAUCCCAGCACUUUGGGAGGCCAAGGGAGGAUGGCUUGCAGCUAGGAGUUGGAGACCAGCCUGAUCAACAUAGCAAUACCAUCUCUAAAAAAUAAAAAGUAACUAAGUUAAAGUACAGUCAUCAGGGUGGGCCCUAAUCCAAUGUGACUACUAUCCUUAUAAGAAGAAAUUAGGACACAGGAAACAGAGGGACAAAUGUGAAGACAUAGUGAGAAGGUGGCCAUCUGCAAGCCACGGAGAGAGGCCCCAGAAGAAACCAAGCUGCUGACAUCAUCAUCUUGGACUUCUCGCCUCCAGAACUGUGAGAAAAUACAUUUUCGUUGCUUCAGUCACCUAGUCUGGGGCAUUUUGUUACAGCAGCCCUAGCAAACUAAUACAAUCAAGAAAGGAAAUCAGACUCAGCAAGGCUGAGGGACCCACCUAGCGCUGUCUAGCUCCUUAGUAAUGCAUUCAUCACAUUCUGCCUGUGACCACUCUCUUAUGUUGAUUAUCAGAUAAAAUAAUGGAUUUAACUCUUAUUAUUUAACUUCUUGAGUGUUUGGGUCUUAUUGCUCCAACUGGCACUCAGGGUAAGGGGCCUUGUCUUCCCCUUCUCAGUAUUU